rnacentral:rRNA from 1 species
AGAGUUUGAUCCUGGCUCAGGAUGAACGCUGACAGAAUGCUUAACACAUGCAAGUCUACUUGAACUUCGGUUUGGGUGGCGGACGGGUGAGUAACGCGUAAAGAACUUGCCUCACAGUUAGGGACAACAUUUGGAAACGAAUGCUAAUACCUGAUAUUAUGAUUUUAGGGCAUCCUAAGAUUAUGAAAGCUAUAUGCGCUGUGAGAGAGCUUUGCGUCCCAUUAGCUAGUUGGAGAGGUAACGGCUCACCAAGGCGAUGAUGGGUAGCCGGCCUGAGAGGGUGAACGGCCACAAGGGGACUGAGACACGGCCCUUACUCCUACGGGAGGCAGCAGUGGGGAAUAUUGGACAAUGGACCAAAAGUCUGAUCCAGCAAUUCUGUGUGCACGAUGACGUUUUUCGGAAUGUAAAGUGCUUUCAGUUGGGAAGAAAAAAAUGACGGUACCAACAGAAGAAGUGACGGCUAAAUACGUGCCAGCAGCCGCGGUAAUACGUAUGUCACAAGCGUUAUCCGGAUUUAUUGGGCGUAAAGCGCGUCUAGGUGGUUAUGUAAGUCUGAUGUGAAAAUGCAGGGCUCAACUCUGUAUUGCGUUGGAAACUGCAUGACUAGAGUACUGGAGAGGUAAGCGGAACUACAAGUGUAGAGGUGAAAUUCGUAGAUAUUUGUAGGAAUGCCGAUGGGGAAGCCAGCUUACUGGACAGAUACUGACGCUAAAGCGCGAAAGCGUGGGUAGCAAACAGGAUUAGAUACCCUGGUAGUCCACGCCGUAAACGAUGAGCACUAGGUGUUGGGCCCGUUAGGGCUCAGUGCCGCAGUUAACGCAAUAAGUGCUCCGCCUGGGGAGUACGCUCGCAAGAGUAAAACUCAAAGGAAUUGACGGGGACCCGCACAAGCAGCGGAGCAUGUGGUUUAAUUCGAAGCAACGCGAAGAACCUUACCAGGGCUUGACAUUUAGGUGAAGCGGCGGAAACGUCGUGGCCGAAAGGAGCCUAAACAGGUGGUGCAUGGCUGUCGUCAGCUCGUGUCGUGAGAUGUUAGGUUAAGUCCUGCAACGAGCGCAACCCUCGUCGUAUGUUGCCAGCGGUUAGGCCGGGCACCCAUACGAGACCGCCGGCGUCAAGCCGGAGGAAGGUGGGGACGACGUCAAGUCAUCAUGCCCCUUAUGUCCUGGGCUACACACGUGCUACAAUGGCCGGCACAAUGGGCUGCCAACCCGCGAGGGUGAGCGAAUCCCUAAAGCCGGUCCCAGUUCGGAUUGGAGGCUGCAACCCGCCUCCAUGAAGUCGGAGUUGCUAGUAAUCGCGGAUCAGCACGCCGCGGUGAAUGCGUUCCCGGGCCUUGUACACACCGCCCGUCACACCACCCGAGUCGAUUGCACCCGAAGUCGUCGGCCUAACCUUUUAGGAGGGAGACGCCGAAGGUGUGGUUGGUAAGGGGGGUGAAGUCGUAACAAGGUAGCCGUACCGGAAGGUGCGGCUG